UUUAAGUAGUUCAUUAGUGUUAAUUAUGUUCACAUUGUUUUACAAUCUCCAGAACUUUUUUAUCUUGUAAAACUGAAACUUUAUAUCCAUUAAAUAGCCACUCCCAUUUACUCCAUCACAAAUCCCCUAACAACCACCAUUCUGCUUUCAGCUUCUUAGUUUGACUUCUCUAGAUACCUCAUAUAAGUGAAGCCAUUUACUGUUUGUCUUUUUGUGACCAGUUUAUUUUACUUAGAUGUGAUGUCCUCAAGGUUGUUGUUGAUACAUGUUGUCAUCAACACUGUGUAAAUCGGGUUAUUUGGUGUGUUUUUUUGUUGAGUUGUAGAAGUUUCUAAUAUAUUCGAGAUAUUAGCUCAUCAGAUAUAUGCUUUACAAAUAUUUCCUCCACAGCUCCACAGGUUGCCUUUUCAUUCUGUUGAUUGUGUCCUUUGAUCUAUAGAAGUUUUAAAUUUUGGUAAAGUCCAGUUAAAGUUUGUAAUUUUGAUGAAGCCCAUAUCUGUUUUUUCUUUUGUGGCUUAUAGUUUGGAGUCAUAUCUAAGCAUCCAUUACUAAAUCCAAGAUUUACAUCUGUGUUUCCUGUGAGGAGUUUUAUGGUUUUAGCUGAGGUCAUUCAUUCAUUUUGAAUUACUUUUUAUACAUGGUGUGAGCAUAUUGGGCCCCAAGAACUUAGAAAUAAUUGCAAGUAAGGAAGAUUUACUUUUGUUACCAUUUGUCUGAUUGCUCACACGAAGUGCCCACCAUGUCAAGGCCUGCCUGUUGCAUUUUUCUCAUAUAUCACUGUUAGUUGUUAGGUCUACCAAGUGCUAACAGCACCUGAUCUCGAUAAUAAGCGUUGUAACAGAGGCAGAGAACAUUCAGUUAAGAGGAGUUUUAGAUUUCCUCUCCAGGAAGUCACAAACUGCAGAAAACUAGCAGAAUAGGCCCAGUCUUAAAACAGAAACAGGAAACAAGAUUUUGACACUUUCAGCAAGAAGGCUUUGGCCGACCACGUGUGUACCAUGCUGCAAUUGUAAUCUUCCUUGAAUUUUUUGCUUGGGGCCUGUUGACAACUCCAAUGCUAACUGCACUAGACGAAUGAAACAUGGACUUGGUCAUCUCAGAACUCACAGAAAUUGGGAGUUGAUAUGUAAACACCAAAGCACAAUACCAAAAUCCUGAAAGUUUGACUCACAAACUAAAAAGCAUGAGGUAAUAUCAAUUAUAUGCUUCUUUAUUAAAUACUGUGCUAAAUGUUAUAGCUUUAAAGAUGUCAAAUGAUUAAGGCAGCCCUGCCUUCAAGGAAUACUCAUGCAGUGGAGGGGAGAAGGUGUGAAUACAGAUGCUAUAAAAAGGGGUGUGGAUGGAAUAUUUCUUAAGGCUGUUGUAUGCGUUUCCUAUUAAUCCUGUAACAAAGACCAUAAGUGUAUUGUCUCAAAACAACUCACAUUUAUUAUUUACAGGCUAUGGUUCAGAAGUGUGACGUCAGUCUCACUGAAUUAUGAUCAAGGCACUGCCAGGGCUGUGUGCCCUCACGGAGGCUAUAGAGGAUGUUUGCUGACCUUACCUAACUUCUAUAUCUAGCCACAUUUCUAGGCUUGUUGCCAGCUUUUACCAUGUUGAAAGUCAUCGACAUGACAGUUUCUUAUGCUCUUAUAUUAGCGUCUUAUUUCCCUCUGACUCUCUUGUUCUGCCUUCCUUUUCCACUUUUAAGGACCCUUGGAAUCACAUUGAGCCCAUCUGGAUAAUCCAAAGUAAGCUUUCUCAGUUCCUUUGGCAAUACAAAUUGCCCUUUUCUGUGUGACCGAAAGUAGUCACAGGUUCUGGAAAUUAGGAUUCUGACUUCUCUGAAAUCAUAGUGCUAUCAAACUGCAAAAAACAAAAAAAAAAUUCAGACUAAGUGAGAUAAUGUCUAUAAAAUACUUUGCAAAAUAUAAAGGGUAAUGCUAAUGUAAGGUGUUAUGGUAGCAGGUUGCUCUGGUUUGACUAUGCAGGGAUAUAGAGUUAGGUCACAUGCCUUUCUCCUCUCCUCCUUCUGGGCCUCUAAUGACUUGCCUAUUUCCAUGACUUUGUUAUUUUGAUAUAAAAAGAUGGCACUUUUGUAGUUCAAAGUCAGGCUCUUACUCCUGUGUACGGAAAAUGGAACCAUCAAAUAUUUUCGUUUGUUCUGGACAUACUAAUCCUGACAUGUUGAUCUGUAUACAUCCCCUGAUUUCUGUGGGUCCCAGAAUUACCAUGGAUAGAAUCCCUGGCCACAGUUGUGAUUCAGACAAAUGAAACAUGACUUAUGGGCUGAAAAUGAGGAUAUAUGAUUAACAUUAAAAAUCCAGGUUUAAAUGAGGGCAAUGCCUGUUCCACUUUUUCUCCCACUUCAUAACUCCCAUAAAGAAAUCACCAUAAUUAGAAUUUUUUUCUCAUCUGUUGACCCAUCUUGAAAAAUAAAUCUGAGAAGGCAUACUACAAAGAAGCUCCUGCCCUGGCUGGCUGGCUCAGUUGUUUGGAGCAUUGUCCUGUACACCUGUGAGUUUAAUUCCUGGUCAGGGCACAUGCAUGUCUAGGUUUUCGGUUUUAUCCCAGGUCAGGGCUUGGAAGAGAGGCCUCUGAUUGGUGUCUCUCUCUCAUUCUCUCUCUUUUCCAUCUGUAAGCAUAUCCUCAGGUGAGGAUUAAAAAACCCCACAAGCUCCUGAUUAAAACAUAAACUAUAUUUUAACCCUUUCUGAUAGGUCCUAAAUUGCCUGGGCAGGAAAGUGAUACAUAUUUGAAACUUGAACCAUAGGGAGGGGCCAUGCAAAACAUCACUGGCCUAUUAUCACCCUCCUCCUCAUCCAGGAUUGAGAUAUAGACAUACGUACAUACAUCUCUAAAGGCCCAAACAACUGCCCAUUGGGUGGUAAAUGAGGAGUUUUAUACUUAUUUAAUAAAAGAUGAGAAUCAAAGGAGGAAAGGAAUUAAAGAAUCACAGUGUUCGUGUUUAGGAAUGACUACAGCUAGGCUUUCAGAAAUUAAAAUUGCAACAACUUAUAGGAUUAAUUGGAAAGGACUGCUGGUACAUAGGAAAUUAUUGAAGUGCUUCCAAAUCUAUGCUACUACAGUGUCACGCCUGACAUCCUUGUAUAUGUGACUUGUGCAUGAGUGUAAGAUUGAUGGUUCUGUUCAUAAAUAUGUCUUUCUCUCCACUGAGAAUGAGUAGAGUUUUGCAUGUAAUAAGCACUCCUUUAACUUUGCUCAUUAACUGAACAUAGGGCUGAUUUCUUGAGUUAUUUCAAACUGGGGAAAACUAGCAGGAGAGCUGUAAUAAAAACCUUCCAACCACAACACAAGCAGAAUAGAAUGAACCUUGAGAGAUAAAGCAAGAUGAUCCCAUUUGUCUGCUGGUUGCAAAGUUAGAUUAACCUUAGAUGAGGUGCAAUUCUGUGAAUCAUUCAGGAUGGAAACUUAGUGUAGGAGAAAGAACAGUGGCUUUGGUGUUAGAAAAUGUGAAUUAAAUUUCUAGCUUCAUUCAUUCCUGGAACCAUGACUGAACAGGUUUCUUUUAUCUCUCUGAACUUUGAUUUCCUAAAUAAACCAGCAGGAUAUUUGAGUGACGCAGGUGUAAAAGAGCACUGCAAGGGCCAUGAGCAAUCAUAUUUGAGAAGCCCUGGAUAUUCUUGAACCAGAAAAAAAAAGAAGUUGCCAAGUUUGAAUUAUCCCAAUAUUUUUAAGGAUUAUGUGCCAAAGACCACUUACUGUGACGAUACAUCUUUUCUGUUUGUGGCUUUGGAGAACCGAACAGGAUUCAAAGAGGGGUUUAACAAUAAGUCACCUGACUGCUCACCUACUUGUUCAGCCCCCUCCCCCCAAGAGAUUAUGAUGGGAUUGUUACCACUGACUGGGGCUGCCCUGUGCCAGAAUAUCAAGGAGGUGUCUCUGUAAGGACUUUUGGUCUAAGGACUCAGGUCAAUUCAAGUGGAGGCAUGCGGUUGCAGUUCUGGCAUAUUUGAAUAAGUUCUGCAUUGAUGGUGGACAUUUGUGUCUACCACCUAACACCCAUUAGAAAUCAGUUUUGCUUAAAUCCAACACAGGUUUUUUUAAAAAGAGAUACUCUGAAACUGCUCAGCUGUUUCUCCCAUAUUGUUGAAAAUGAUCUUGUCAGAAUGCAAAGCCUCUUUAACUUGUAAACGUGUCAUUAUACUUUGCUGUGAGUAAUGUGUAAGUUAAUGUCCCUCCCAUCCCAAUCAUAACAAUCCCUCAGCCAACUGUAAAAGAUCCUUUAAUGAUUAUUUUCUCUGCUGAAUGCCUUUUAUCAUCUGUGCUUAGACAAGUGGAGCUGGAGUGUCUUGCCUAUGUACCAUCAUUUGUUUUAGAGAUUCUUGGGGAACUAAAAAAUAAAAGGCAUUUGCAAAAAAUGUUGAAAGUUAAAUGGAUAUAUUAACAGAGUACUAACCAAUAAAUUAAAAGUGCAAUGAAAUAAAAUCGAAUUUUAAAUUUAAAAGGGCUUAUCUCAUGCAAAACAUAAGCUGUUCUAAAUUUUCACUAUAUAUAAAAUUGCACAAUUAACAAGGAACUCAUUGUGCUAAUGGUUUUAAAAUAUUCAUUUUAGGCUUAUUGUUUCCAGUUUACAUCUUUUGGAGUGCUUCCACAUAUAAACACCACGACAAUUCAUUUAAAAUGGUAUUUUUAAAGUUUCCUAAGUGAUUUGGAGACCCAAGCCUUUUUUUUUUUUAAAGGAAUUUCUUAGUCUGAUAAUUAGGUAAUAGCUUAUUCAUUCCAAAUGUCUAGUAAAGUUCCUCCUAACUAUUAAUUAUAUCAUAAUACAAUCUUCUAAGUGAAUCAAAAUUUUCAGAGAGUUAUAAUUUUUCUGGUCUUAUGCAGAAAAACGAUAAGUUAAAAAGAGAGCAAACCUACCGGGAAAAUGAAAUUCUGUCCUCAUUCUCCUUUGUGAGUAGGUUUCUGCUAGAGAAAGAGUGAGGACGAGACCAGUGGCUCCUGCUGUGUUGCUCAUGGUCUCCGAUGCCUGCCUUUUCCUCCCAGAACCUAACAUUACUGGAAGUCUUGGCAUCAUGCUGCACUCAACUCAGCUCAGUAAUCAAACUCUAAGUUCAAGUUCAGGGCCCAUUUCUUAUUUUCUCAGUUUCUACAAAAGUAUAUAUAAUGUAUCAAGUACUUAGCUGUUUGACAUUUAAACAAAUAUGUCUAGAAGCACAUACAUGUAUACAUAUAUGUGUGUGUAUUAUGUAAGAAAGAAUUUGUCUGGUCUUUGUUCCAGAUUCCCGGAAUAGAGGCUCUAAACCCUUAGAAUUUUCUGAGUGAUAGGAAUAUCUUUGUUGUUCAUGAUGGGUCCCCA